UAGGGAAUUUUCGUUCAAUGGGCGCAAGCCUGAACGAGCAAUGCCGCGUGAACGAGGAAGGUCUUCGGAUCGUAAAGUUCUGUUGAAGGGGAAAAAGAGCGGAGAGAGGAAAUGCUUUCUGAUUGAUAUUACCCUUUGAGGAAGUCACGGCUAACUACGUGCC
rnacentral:rRNA from 1 species